GGCGGGCAGCAGGCAGAACAAAGCCCCGAGACCAGACACCUGGGCGUGGAUGCUCCUAAAAUCCCAGGCGCUGCUCCCUCCAUUUUGACCGGGGAGCCUGGGCUGAGCAGCGGCUGCCCCCCCACCCCAAUGGGGGUCUGUGCUGGGGGGAGCCCCUCAUUAACCCCUCCCUGCCCAGCCGCGGGGGACUUUCUCCGGCUGGGACCAGCCCCCCGGGCUGCAGACUGCAGACUAACGCGGCUUCCCCUCUGAUACCUGACACCAGGCAAGUGUGAACUGGGGGAGUCUGAAGUGUCUCUGGGAAGGCAGGAGAUUUCAGGGGGAGAAGACCAGGGGAAGAGGAGUCUUGGAUUGAGCUUCCUGGCUGAGAUGCUGUUGUUUCCUCCACUGUUAUCUGGAAGCCCAAGUUGAGCUGCUCCUUCUGUCCCAGUGGGAUCUGUGCUGGAGAGUGACUUUAUUUAAAAUUUCUUCUGUGCUGAGCCAAGGUGAGGAAUUUCUCCAGUCGGAACGAGUCCCCUAAGGCAGACUUACGCUCUGCCAACAUCAGCUCCUGAGCCAGAGACCUCAAGGAAGGUGCCGAGGAUGGGCAGCAAAGUGAUUUGGCACAAACAGCCCCUCCUCAUUCCUCAUGUCUCCUCUCAGUAGUAGUUGCAGGAGCUGAUCCAGCCAUGGGGAAGAAAAUGACCCAGGAAUGGGACUGUCCAAACUGGAGGGGCAGGGAGAGGGGAAAGGAGAUCGAAAGGGAAAGAGGAGAGAGACUGAAAGGGGCAGUGGGAGAAAUAAGUGGGGAGAGAAAUUCCCAGAUCUCUGACCUGCCCAGACAUACUUAUUGCAACAUCGCGGGACAGAUUCCCUUGCCUGUGAACAAGUGGAGGAGCAGAAGGAGGAAAAGCAAGUUCCUGAGUCUCCCUAUUCCCCCUGCCUGGGAGUAUGCUGCCCUGGGGACCAAGUCAGGGGGAAUCCCCCAAAGUGACUCCUUUGG